rnacentral:lncRNA from 1 species
UCCACAUUGUGGAAGCUUUGUUCUUUUGCUCUUUGCGAUAAAUCUUGCCCCUGCUCACUCUUUGGGUCCACACUGCCUUUAUGAGCUGUAACGCCACGAAGGUCUGCAGCUUCACGAACCCAUCGGGAGGAACGAACAAUUCCAGACGCGCUGCCUUAAGAGCUGUAACACUCACCGCGAAGGUCCGCAGCUUCGCUCCUGAGCCAGCGAGACCACGAACCCACCAGAAGGAAGAAACUCCGAACACAUCCCAACAUCAGAAGAAACAAACUCCAAACACAUCCGAACAUCAGAAGGAACAAACUCCAGACGCGCCACCUUAAGAGCUGUAACACCGCGAGGGUCCGCGGCUUUAUUCUUGAAGUCAGUGAGACCAAGAACCCACCAGUUCCGGACACAAUACUUUUCACACUGCAUGAUGAAGAAAUUUAGCUUUAUUGUUAGAUCCUGACAGAAAAAUUUACAAUGAUGAAAGAAAGAAAUAAAAUACAGAUGACUGGAAAAAUUUCCCCCACAAACUGCCAAGUGACCCUGUACUAUCUCCAGACUUUCCAAAGAUACCUUUGAAAACCUCUCCCACAGAAGCCUUCCUAAAUUUAAGGACUUGAAAAGGUCGGUACAUUUAACAUUUUGUUGCAAAAU